rnacentral:rRNA from 1 species
UAGCAAUACGAUGGAAAGUCUAGUGGCGAACGGGUGCUUAACACGUGGGCAACCUGCCGAGAAGUGGGGGAUAGCUCGCCGAAAGGCGAAUUAAUACCGCAUGUGAUUAGAGUGGACAUCCAUUCGAAAUUAAAGUCGGGGCAACCUGACGCUUCUUGUGGGGCCCGCGGCCUAUCAGCUAGUUGGCGAGGUAACGGCUCACCAAGGCUUUGACGGGUAGCUGGUCUGAGAGGACGACCAGCCACACUGGGACUGAGACACGGCCCAGACACCUACGGGUGGCAGCAGUCGAGAAUUUUUGACAAUGGGGGAAACCCUGAUCGAGCGACGCCGCGUGGAGGAUGAAGGUCUUCGGAUUGUAAACUCCUGUCAUUGGGGAACAAUGCGUGACGCUUAACUGCCGUUGCGUUGAUAGUACCCGAAGAGGAAGAGACGGCUAACUCUGUGCCAGCAGCCGCGGUAAUACAGAGGUCUCAAGCGUUGUUCGGAUUCAUUGGGCGUAAAGGGUGCGUAGGCGGCGCGGUAAGUCGGGUGUGAAAUCUCGGAGCUUAACUCCGAAACUGCAUUCGAUACUGCCGUGCUUGAGGACUGGAGAGGAGACUGGAAUUCUCGGUGUAGCA